AUGGGGUUGGGGAAGGAGGGAUCCAUCAGGGAAGCAGGGACUUGUUGGGAUCGGGGUCGGGGAAGCAGGGAUUCGUUGGGGUUGGGGAAGCGGGGACCCGUCGGGGAAGCAGGGAUCUGUCGGGACUGGGGUCGGGGAAGCAGGGAUCCAUCUGGGGAAGCGGGGACUUGUUGGGAUUGGGGUUGGGGAAGGAGGGACCCGUUGGGGUCGAGGAAGGAGGGAAGCAGGGACCCGUCGGGAUCGGGGAAGCAGGGACCCGUCAGGGUCGGGGAAGCAGGGAUCUGUCGGGAUUGGGGUCAAGGAAGCGGGGACUCGUUGGGAUUGGGGUCAAGGAAGCGGGGACUCGUCGGGGUCGGGGAAGCAGGGAUGCGUUGGGAUUGGGGUCAGGGAAGCAGGGAUCCGCUGGGGAAGUGGGAACUUGUUGGGAUUGGGGUUAGGGAAGGAGGGACCCGUCGGGGUCAGGGAAGUGGGGAUCUGUUGGGAUUGGGGUCAGGGAAGCAGGGAUCCAUCGGGGUCAGGGAAGUGGGGAAGCAGGGAAGUAGGGAUCCGUCGGGGAAGCAGGGACCCGUCGGGAUUGGGGUCGGGGAAGCAGGGACCUGUUGGGAUCGGGGAAGCAGGGAAGCAGGGAUCCGUCGGGGAAGCGGGGACUUGUUGGGAUUGGGGUUGGGGAAGGAGGGAUCUGUUGGGGUCGGGGAAGCAGGGACCCGUUGGGAUCGGGGAAGCGGGGAUGCAUCGGGAUUGGGGUCAGGGAAGGAGGGAUCUGUCGGGGAAGUGGGGAAGCAGGGAGCCGUCAGGAUCGGGGAAGCAGGGAGCCGUCGGGAUUGGGAUCAGGGAAGCACGGAUCCAUUGGCAUCAGGGUCAGGGAAGCAGGGACCCGCUGGGAUCCAUCAGGAUCAAGGAAGCAGGGACCCGCUGGGAUCGGGGUCGGGUUCGUGGCGCCAGCGCGGCAGAAUCGGCCCCAAAAAGCAACUCACCUCAUGGCCAGGUACAUGGGGCGGAUGGCGAAGAGGGGGAAGGUGUGCACUUUGA
rnacentral:lncRNA from 1 species